UACGGAGGGUGCGAGCGUUGUCCGGAAUCACUGGGCGUAAAGGGCGCGUAGGCGGCGCGGGUAGUCAUCGGUGAAAGUUCAGGGCUCAACUCUGAAUCGGCCGGUGAUACUCCCGUGCUUGAGCACUGUAGAGGCAGGUGGAAUUCCGGGUGUAGCGGUGGAAUGCGUAGAGAUCCGGAAGAACACCGGUGGCGAAGGCGGCCUGCUGGGCAGUGAGCUGACGCUGAUG
rnacentral:rRNA from 1 species